rnacentral:rRNA from 1 species
GGAUGAACGCUGGCGGCGUGCCUAAUACAUGCAAGUCGAGCGAACGGACGAGAAGCUUGCUUCUCUGAUGCUAGCGGCGGACGGGUGAGUAACACGUGGAUAACCUACCUAUAAGACUGGGAUAACUUCGGGAAACCGGAGCUAAUACCGGAUAAUAUUUUGAACCGCAUGGUUCAAAAGUAAAAGACGGUCUUGCUGUCACUUAUAGAUGGAUCCGCGCUGCAUUAGCUAGUUGGUAAGGUAACGGCUUACCAAGGCAACGAUGCAUAGCCGACCUGAGAGGGUGAUCGGCCACCCUGGAACUGAGACACGGUCCAGACUCCUACGGGAGGCAGCUGUAGGGAAUCUUCCGCAAUGGGCGAAAGCCUGACGGAGCAACGCCGCGUGAGUGAUGAAGGUCUUCGGAUCGUAAAACUCUGUUAUUAGGGAAGAACAUAUGUGUAAGUAACUGUGCACAUCUUGACGGUACCUAAUCAGAAAGCCACGGCUAACUACGUG